GAUGAAGAACGCAGUAAAAUGCGAUAAGUAAUGUGAAUUGCAGAAUUCAGUGAAUCAUCGAAUCUUUGAACGCACAUUGCGCCCGUCAGUAUUCUGGCGGGCAUGCCUGUUCGAGCGUCAUUACGCCCCUCAAGUCCCCUGUGGACUUGGUGUUGGGGAUCGGCGAGGCUGGUUUUCCAGCACAGCCGUCCCUUAAAUUAAUUGGCGGUCUCGCCGUGGCCCUCCUCUGCGCAGUAGUAAAACACUCGCAACAGGAGCCCGGCGCGGUCCACUGCCGUAAAACCCCCCAACUUUUUAUAGUUGACCUCGAAUCAGGUAGGACUACCCGCUGAACUUAAGCAUAUCAAUAAGCGGAGGA
rnacentral:misc_RNA from 1 species